CUCCUCCUGGUUGAGAGGAACGUCACUCGCGUGUCCGGAAAGACAAAAGAUGCCUGAGAAUGAUACAAAGGAAGUACCGGGCUCAUUCGCGACAGCAUACUCGCGAAAACUGUCUGCUAACCCCAUUUCACAUGAUUCCUCGACGAGCACGCGGUUCCGGAGCCUUCGAACUCUUGACACGGAAUGUUGGCAAAGACGUCGAAGGAUCUUCAGCGAUUGAUAGUUGCAUUUUAUAGACGGGAAUGUGUGCCCGGCAGGUUUUGUUCUCAGAGAGAGUUUCAUCUUCUGAGGUUCAUGCCUUUCUGAAGACCGUGUCAUCUGCCGCAGCGCUCUUGUCAAGGGGAGGGGCCACGUCCUUCGACGUUGUACGUCUCUUUCGGUGUAAAAAACGCAAGCAGGUGUUUCUAUUCUAACUCGACACAGUUUUACUUCCGAGCCAAAGACAAGGUUAUUUUUCCUCUCCGACUCAGACCGGCAAAGAACGGUUCAAGACGAGGCGUAGCGAAGCUAGUUUUAACCAGGCCACGCUGUCUCAAUGCCCGACUCUUUGUUUUAUUUCAGCACACGAAACCGGGAAACAACCGUAUACAUAGAGAGCAGUUUUCGCCUGCUCUUCAAAGGCGGUGAAGCAAUUUUUGGCGUUGUCGUAAACAAAGUGCUGUGCUGUUUUUUGCGCUCUGUCCAGUGGCUGACCGCCAGCGCAGCUUUUUCAAAUCAUGGGCGCGCGUGUUUCCAAUAGUUUCUGUGCCUUCGUCGAAGUUAUUUUUCCGUUUUCGUACUGUCUGUGACCGUGGAGAACGCGUAUCCGCCGUGGUGGGAGGAGGAAAUGACGGCUGGAAACUCUGCCUCUUGAGAACAGCGUCUUUGCGGGCAAGACGGAAUGGUUUUCCCGUUCACUUUCGGCGACUCCUUGACGAGGUGGCAUGGCAACAGACGAUACACGGUUGCCGCGACAGACUAUGGAGUCAACAGAGAGAAGACAGAUUUCCACUCGUAACUCUCCAGAGAUGAAAACCUCUCGGUCAGGCUCAAGAACGGAUGGAGCGGCUCAGCCACCCAAGGUGACAUCGCCUUUCCUCGCAGUUCGUGUGCUGCGCUGUGAAGGCCUGAAGCACUCGGGCAUGCAUGCAGUUGAAGUCGAGGUCGGGGGUCACCGGCGAGUCUCGGGGUGGAUCGAAGGCUGUCAUGACGCAACCUUCAAUUUCUCUUCGACCUUCAACAAAGUGCCUCGGGACGGCAACGUUCGACUUUCGGUGUGGCACAAACGCUCCUGGCGGGAAGACAAGCGCGUCUGCGAUACAUAUUACUCGAUAGGCUCGCUGUUCUCGGCGCCAGCGCAUGCGUAUCGCGGGUGGCUGGGACUGGAACAGAACACGCGUUUCGCAGGACAAGUUCUCGUUGAAUUCAGUCUGCUGAGCAGGGGAACGUCGGAGAACCAGCGGGAAGCCGCGAGGCUCGCCGCUUCAGAACUCGAGGUGAAAGCUGAGUCAGGCCGCUCCCAGGCGACGGAGGGGCCGAGUGGGGAGAAGACGGCAGAAGAACGAGAGGGAAAAGAGGAGCAGAGUCUCAUCGGAGACAGAGGGCGAGAGAGCGGAGAGAGAGAAAGCGGAGAUGAUGUCGACAAACGAGCAGCGACAGCGGCUUCACCAUGUGGGCGGCAUCGUCUUCCCGACCAUGCGUACCCUGUCAAACGGAGUAGCCAACAGGCGCCUGAGAAGGAGAAGAGUUCCGACGUUGUGGCUUUUUCAUCUUCACCUCCUAGCCCCGUGCUCCCGUCUGGACCUUCCUCUGGUGACACGUCUUCUUCGACUUCUCUGCAAAAAACAGCCUCGUCUGCAGCUGGAGAAAAGAGAAACGACGAAGCGACAAGGAAAACCGACGAGAGAGGAGGGGCAGAUUCUCGAGACGCUGAUCUUUCUUCUCCCGCGGCUCUGGGUUCACCUGUGUCUGGUCUUCUUGUCGAUCUUCUCUCUCUCGAUGUCGAGAUUCACGGCUCUACUGAGAAGAAGGGAACGGAGACAGAGGGGUCACCUUCUCUCUGUUUCUCCGGUGUCCCCGCAGGUCAGCCUGUGCCUCAGCCGAGACAAGAGCUGCAUUAUCCAGGAGUCGUCUGUUCAGGAGUGGAACAACAAGGAAAUAAACAAAGAUGUGUAUCUUCAGUGUCGUCCUACGCAGAAGGCGACGGAGGUGAGGCAGCAGACAUGAGACCGACUGAAGCGCAAGGGGAAGCUACUCGUACGACGGAGAGACAAGAAGAAUUCGAGUCUCUCCCCAGUGAACGAAAACACCGAGACAGAAAGCAAGCAACCUGUGAACAGUCUCUGGUGUCUCGACAGCACGCUGCAAACAAGCCGCCCGAGGAAGGAGGGUCCGCUUUGCGACUUUCCAUGGCCUCGCCCACGAGGCAUUGGGGAGAAGAAGAGAUGUCGAAAGAGGAGGAAAUAACGAAGGACAGAGAGAACGAAGGCGCAACAGACAACGAGAAAGAAAGAACACAAGACAGAGAUGAAGCGAACACGAGAGCGAGGGAAGAAGAAGGCGUCAGGAGGCAGGCGACGCAGCAAGGAAGCGCUGGCGAGUGUGCAGAACGAGAAACUUGGAAUCUCGAGAGGCGAGAGAGAAUCCCAUCUCGGGAACGUACGAGGGAGCAAAGAGCCAUGACUGCGCAGAGAGGUCAGGGGAAAGAAGGCGGGGAAAGCAGAUGUCAGAGAAGAAACUCAGGAGACGAGAACUCGAGAGACUUAAGAGGCACUCACCAAGAGAUUAGGCUUCAGAACGCGGGUCCCGAAUUGCGGCCAGUCCUUCCGGGAGAGAAAACAGAGAAAGACAGGGGAGACCCGCGAGCGAAGGAAGGAAAGAAACAAACCACUGAAGCAGAAGCCAUCGCGGGGAAACACGCAGAGGCAGACGGAGAGAACUGUUCACGUUUUAGAAACCAGGGAAGGAGCAUUUUUCCUCCAGAAAGUGAAAUUUCAUCUACAUCUCCUCCAGUUAAGUCUCCAAGGAUAGAAUCUGCCCCUGUUUCCUCUGUCUCAACAUCUCGCGCUUCUGCAUCUUCUCCAAAUGCUUCUUUUUCAAGCGAGUCGCAACGCCAGUUUAUGACCGCUUCCCCUUCUUGCUGCCAGGAGGCGAAAAGGGACAAAACACCCAUCGAGUCUCUCUCUUCGUCUUCUCCUUCCUCUUCUUCUACUCCUUCUUCUUCUUCUUCUUCGUCUUCGUCUUCUUCUUCCGUGGCGCUUUUGGCGCAUGCUUCGGGUGCUGCGGGAGGCGCGGCUUCUCCGGCUUUGCACGCAGCCCUCGAGGACGCGGGCAAGCGCGAGAGAGACUGGAGAGCUCUGGAUGAAAUCUUUUUCGCCGAGUCUUCACGUUUGCGAAGAGUGUCGAGAGAAGGGUGGCAGCCAUUUCCGAGGGCAGAGGGCGACGCGAAGAGAGUGGGUGACUCAGCUUCCUUCGUCGACGUGCAGGCCGCGAACGACGCUGGGGGCGAGACGACGACGGGGGAGAGUCGAGCCGAGAAGGAGGAGGCGGUUUUUCCUAUCGUCGCUGAGCACCGAGACAUAGAGGACGAGGCCUGGAGAGAUGCAGGUGUCAAGGGAGACGAGGGGAGAACGCGAGGACAUGCGGGAGGCAACAGGGAAGAUGAGAUGGGGAUCUCAAAGAAAGAGACAGAGACUGUUUCGCCGCGCGGCCGAUCAACCCACGAAGCUUCAGAGCCGCUGGACGUCUCGCUGACUCGCCGCCGAAGGUUCUCAGUGACUUCCGAGGGCUGCAUAGAAGCCGGGAGUUUCCCUGAGGGCGCUGAGGGAGCGUCGACGGAGGCGCAUACAAGAAGAAGCAGCCACUCUCGUUGCGUCGAUUUUGGGAGAGACACAGAGAGAGACAGUGGUUUUCGCAAACGGGAGACUUCAGACCUGGAGCAGAGCCGUCUGGACUCGGGUUGCUGCUCUGCAGAACUUGCUCCCGCUGCCUUCGAGACCGACGCUUUCAGGGCGCCCCUCUUCCCUGCACACAAGGAGACAGUUGCGCCUUCACGGCAACAGUCUCCUCCAGGAGACAAGUCCGCCGUUCGCGUGGCUCCGCCCAUCUUCCCCGCAGACGAACCGACCCCUGGACCGAAGGAUGAAGAGAAUGAAAAGCUCGCUUCUGUACUCGCUUCUUCUCUUUGUUCUUUUCAGGGUGGGCCUGGGACGCGGGUGUCGGGAGACAGGCCUUGGCCGACGCGGGUGGAAGAAGCGAAGGUCUUCCUCGAACGAGAGGAGAACGAAGACCGAAGGCGAGAAAACGGGACUGUGGGGGCGCGAGACUCACAUUUCGCUGCGAUUGAGGAGAAACAGACGACUGCAGCUAACAGGGCUUCUGAAGAAGAGAAGAAACAGUUCCAUCGCGAAGCACUCGCAGAGUAUCGCAGGAAGACUAGAGAAGGCACAAAGGCGUUCGGACCUCUCCACGCGUAUUCGCCGUGGGGAGGCGUAGGCGCGUUCCCGUCGCCGCGACCUCAGAGACCUGAGACGGCGCCUGUCGAUGCGUCUGCAGAGCCCCGCCAAAGUGUGUCGGAAUCGUCUCCGGCAAUAUCUGAACGACGUUCCUCGGGCUCGUGGUUUUCCGCGUUCCCAGUGGUUUCUUGGUAUCCUGUGAUGCCUCCGGAACAGACCUCGCCGCCUGGCGGAAGAGGACCGAGAGAAGAAGGCACAAACAAGGAGACAAAAGGAAGGGAACUGCCGGCCGACAGCGGCUGGGGCGACCCGAGGGCCCCUGGGGAAGACCGCGCGGAUCUUGCUUCGCCUCCUUUUCCUUCUUCUUCCUGCUCCUUCGACGACCUGAAGCUUGCGGAACGCCCGCCUGAGGUGUCUCCAGAGAAGAAGAAGCCGUUCUCGCGUCUGCGGUUCCAUCUCGGGUGGCCUCACCUGAAGAGCAGCGGCAAAACAGAGAAGAGGAAGUCGGAAAAGAAGGCAGAGACCGAGGUUUCAGAGCCGCAAUCCACAGCGGAAGUUGGCGUGUCGAUUUCGCCGCGAAAAAAGGCCCCAAGAGACGCGGAGCCCGGGGCCGCGGGUCGACCGAGAGAAAAGAGACGAUCUGUCUCUUCUUCUUCUCGGCGCUCGACGGUCUCGGCGCCUUCUUGGAGCCUGCCAAGUUCGCCCUCAUUUCCCACUGAGAGAGACGCAGAUGCCCCCCCGUUUCCCCUUGCGGAUCCUCCUCGAACACACUCUGGCGCUUCUCUGCGGUCUCGAUCUUCGUCUCGUUCCUCGUCUGAGCGCCGUUUUCAGGUUUCUGCGAGGUCCCGGCCUGCUCCGCCUCCCUUGCCAGUCUUGCCGCCCCCACCCCUGGAUGUCGGAGAUCUGGACGCGGGGGCCGACUCUGAAGGCCAUCUUUCUUCGCCUUCUUUCCUUUCUUCUCUCAGGCAGAAUUCAGUGGCUGCUAGCGCGGCGGGGGACGUGGACCGGAGUUCGCGCGAGCAGAGAAAGGCGUCGGUGUCAAGACAGAAUGUCGAGUUUCCUCAAGUUCCUCCGUGGGCCAAGGAAGAAGAAAGGGCCUUCAUCCGGCUCGGUUCAGAGACUGUCUCCGCAGGCGCCCCUCGACUCGCGCCGCCACCGGGGGAUGUAGUGGUAGAGCUUCCAAGACAUCACGAAGAAGAGGCGAAGCACCUGGUCAAAAUAGGGGAAGGCGACCAACGGACUCUCGUGAAAAAAACGAAGAAGGGGUCGAGGAAGGUGCACAAUUCCAAGAAGACGAGACAAGCGUCUUCGACUUCGCCCUGCCAGGGGGAAGAGACGUUCUUUCCCGACGCUCCUACUGCAGAUAGUCCUUUUCCUCCCGAGCCUUCUCUUUUCCUCGAGGCGUCUGGGUGGACGGAGAACGCCCCUGCCCUCGCCUUGUCUUCUGCUGCCUCUUCUUUCCUCUCGCCUUUGCCAGGCUCUCAGCCGCCUGAUGUGUCUCCUCGCCCUCGCGACGCAGAGGGCAGUGCGGUCCCCGCUACGCCUGCGUUUCUCGCUUGCGAACCAGAGAGACCGAGGUACGCAGAGAGAGGGAACUUCUUCUUUUCGACGCCUCCCAGGACCCCUUCCCUCGCGAUGCCCUGCAGACCUCCCGAGCACGCGCUCCCCGACCGAGAGCCUCUUCCGCCGCUCUCGCCAGAGACGAGACGCCGCUGCCAUCGCCGCGGGGCGGGAGAAUCUGAGGCGGAAGCAGGCGAAAAAGACCAGACCCUGCAUGCAACACGCGUCGGGAAAAUGAAGGUGGGAAGAGACGUUCGGCCUCUUGGGCUCCCUGGAGGCCCCUACGAGGACCGACGAGAGUCUAAGGAGCCGGCAACAAGAAGUACAGCCGAAGUGAGAAGAUUCUCCUCUGGAAAGCGACGCCAGUCUGGCGUCAAGACGGCAGUGCCUUCCGCAGACAUCACUGGAGGAAAGGUUGGGGGUCGUGCGCAUGCGAUGCAUGCAGGAGUUUCAGGUAUCGCUUCUUUCUCCUAUCCUCGUAGUUCUGACCUUCCAGCGUCUACCUUGAGUCCGCCUGGGGGGUACCCAGGUGCCGUUUCGUCUCCGUUCGGAUCUGGGUCGCCUCCAGGUCCUGCUUCUUCCUCCGCUUCUUCUCUGCAGUGCCUCAUGGCCCGCGGAUUUUCUCCCUUUGACACCUUAACGCCCGAAGCGAGUUCUCCGUCUCCUUGCUGUCCGCCUGCGUAUCCUGUGUUGGCGACGCCUCUCCCUUCGGCGCCUGUUGCCCUCGCUGCACAUCCAUUCUGCUCUUCCUUGUCCUCCCCGUGCUCGCCGUUCGCCUCUGCUUCGCCAUACCUGGCCUCAGCCCAGAAUCCUGCCUUUCAGGUGUGGCGAGAGAACGCCGUGGAGUGUCGUAACAGCGCAGUGGUCGCGCCCCAGAUCCAGGUGCAGCGCCUCGCUCCCCUGGACGGUCGAGAAGCGAAGAACGCCUCUCUUUCUUCUGGCUCGCCUUUUGCAACUUCUGUGUCUGCUCCUCCUCUGCCUUCGAGCGCAACCCUCGCUGGAGGCCAAGGAACCGAGAGGAGCUAUCAUAGGCCCGAGGCACAGAACCACAAUCCGUUCUCAGCGCUUGCCGAUUCCACGCCAGUAUCUGCGGCCCCGCUGUCCUCUGCCUCAGCCCCUGUCUCUUCUCUUCCUUUCUCUCCCUCCACGUCUCCCUCAAAGCUCUUGCCCAUUGUUGUGCUUCCUCCCUCUUCUCCUGCGUCUUCUUUCGUGUCUGCUGUCUCUUCUGGGCUGUCUGCUGAGUCUCUGUCGCACUCGCCGUUUGCGGUCUCAGUCCCGAUGUUGUCCGGAGUGCAUGCGCCCGGGACGAAGCUUCCGGUUGGAAGCUUGAAUCACCGAAGGUCUGCGUCUGAGAGCGACAGAGACGUCGAUCGGAAUCCGUUUGCGCUUUUGGGUUCGGGUACGAAGAGAGAUUCUCUGUCCGCUAUGAAGACGCCAACUUCCUCUCUCUCUGUCGCGCGUGCGUCGCAUGCACCACAAACAACCGCUGUGAGGAAUUCUUCCAGUGGCGUCUGUGUCACUGCCUCUCCUUUGGUGUCUCUCCAGGGACUUCAGGGUGGUCCGCCGCCCUCGGGUCCCUCUUCCUCCUCAGGCGCGAAUUGCUCAGCGUCGGUUUCUUCCGUCUCUCCUUUCGCUCUCUCGCGCCGAGCCCAAGGCGCAGGUGCGGGAGAUUGCUUGCACUGGAAAGGUUCUCAAGCUCUGCUCUGCGACAGGCCUGAGGAGACAGGAGACAGUCGCGAGGCGGAGAAGCCGCGACAUGGAGCGCGAGACAGAAGAGCAGGGAGCUUUUCUGGAGAUACCCGUACCCCGAAGGAGAGAAAGGGCUCGGUAGAUGCGAGGGAGAGUGGAGCCGAAGAGAGACCCACACGAGGGAGACAGAGACAGAGAACCGUGUCUGAUGGGCAGACAGGACGAGGCGACGGGGUCGCCAGCCCCGCAAUUCAAGCUCCACGCUUCCCGUCGCCCACCCCCCAUUGAACGUUUUUUUGUACAGAAUGUCUACGAGAAGUGAUGGGCAUGUCACCUGAAAAACUUACGGGUCCCGGGACUGUGAGCGUCGUUCUCGUUUCUUUUCACUCAUCCGGUUGCUCUGCGUUUCUUUCUUACAAAGGUCUCUUCUCUCUUCUGCUCUCUCUUGUCUCUUCUCUCGAAACUGUCUUCACUGCUUUCGCUUAGCGCUCCUCUCAGUUUCCGCGCUUCUCUUCCAAUCUUCAUCCUCGCUCUCCUUUUUCUUUUCUUUGUCGAUGUUGAGCACGAUUCAGCGCUAAUUUUCCGGAUAUCUCGCUGUAGCGGCAUUGACCUUUCGGGCCUCUGCAUGCGAGGCAUACACUUUUUAAAAGGAUCUCCCGUCCCCGCUUUCUUCAUAGUAGAGAAAUCCUCAUGCACAAACAGCCUUGCGGUUUCUCAAUUUGCGAAAAACACGCAACCGCGUAUCCGCUGGUUACAGUAAAGUCUACUGGGGAAGUCUCCAUCUUGCCACUAAAUGGAAAAUGCACAUGCUUUUUUAAACUUAAGGGAGAAAGGAUUCGAACCUAUGUUUCUCGGAAUCAAACUCCAGUAUUCCUCCUCGUUAGGAGAAGUAACAGAAGCAAUGCGCGG
rnacentral:lncRNA from 1 species